rfam:Oryzias latipes DNA, chromosome11, strain: Hd-rR.
UCCGGAGUUGAUUGUCCAAACGCAAUUCUUGUGUCUAGUAAUGUGAAACCAGGAGUUGUGGAUGGACAUCACGCCCCUGA